AAGAGCUUAGGAUAACAUUAGACCAAGAGCCUUCAAAGCCCCAAGUGGAAGUGAGAAUCUUCCAGUUCUUG
rnacentral:tRNA from 1 species